rnacentral:lncRNA from 1 species
GAUGCUGUUGGGAAACCCUGAUCUAAAGAAACAUCAGGCCGGGCGCGGUGGCUCACGCCUGUAUGGGAGGUCGAGGCGGGUGGAUCACGAGGUCAGGAGAUCGAGACCACGGUGAAACCCCGUCUCUACUAAAAAUACAAAAAAAUUUAGCCGGGCGCGGUGGCGGGCGCCUGUAGCCCCAGCUACUCGGGAGGCUGAGCCAGGAGAAUGGCGUGAACCCGGGAGGCAGAGCUUGCAAUGAGCCGAGAUCGCGCCACGGCACUCCAGCCUGGGCAACAGAGCGAGACUCCAUCUUAAAAAAAAAAAAAAAGAAACAUCAGUGGAAGAGGAAGAAACUGCAGGUACAGGAAUAAACUUACGUGAUCCUCAUUUCAAGGAGAAGAAGGAGAAGUUGAAGAAGGAGGAGAAGGAGAAGGAUGAGAAGAAAAACAAGAAGAGGAAGGAGAAGGAGGAGGAAAAUGAGAAGGAGAAGAAGAGAAGGAACAGCAGCAGUUGCAGGAGGAGGAGAAAGAGGAGGAGGAGGAGAACAGAGUGUGCAGAAGCUGGGGGGGAUUCCAAUGUUGGAAGCAUUUUUAGCAUACAACAACAUCCAAGUGGAUUACGAUGAAUGCCUAGACCUCUAUGGCAAACAGUACUUAUACUAUUAUGAAACGGUCAAGAGAUGAAGCAGAGAGAAGGAGAAAGAGAGAAAGAAAGAAAGAGAGAAAGAGAGCGGGAAAGAGAAAGAAGGAAAGAAUAUCCUAUAUACUGGCAGCCCUUGUUUGUCUCUUCGUGGCCUGUGCUGAGGACUACAUCAGUCUCCUGCAAUUAUCAUCUACACUGAAAAACAAAGAGGACAGAGGCAAAGCUAGUGGCCCUCACCAUCCCCUGCAAGCUGAUUGCUUCUUACUGCAAGCACUUGAGCAUCUUCCUGAGAGCUUUCUUGGGCAAUGGGAACCAGGCUUGGCCCAUUCACAGGCAGGUGAGAAGUAUGAGGAAAUGGAGAAGGCAUUGUCCAAGGAGCAGUCUUCAACCUUCGCCCCGCAAGUGAGACAACUCUGAAUAAGAUGUGUUCUACACUCUCUUCCAAAGGUCCCCAGUUGGAUGGAGCUCUAGCUGCUCAUGUGAUAAGCUGCCUAUUAAUACACAAAAGAUUGCCUUUCCUCCUUGCUCUGUCUUCCUGCUGCUCUCCUACUAAUGUUUCCUGGGAUUGCCUCCAAAUAAACCACUUGAACUCACAUAUUAGUGUUAUUGUCAGUUGGAAGAUUUUAGUGUUUUAGAUAUAUAGGAGCUCUUCUGCUUUUAAGAUUGCCAAUUUCUUCUUUCUUCAGAGCAGUAUUCAUACCUGGCCCGUAUUAUUUUUUUCUGGAAGUAUUUUAUUAUUGCUUAAAAAUACCAGGAAGAUUACCAUGAAAACUGUACAUUUAUAAUUUAAGGAUGGAAUCUUCAUGUAGUUUCUUAAACCUCAGAGGUGAAGGUAUUACAUAUUCCAGAAAUUCAGGAAACUUUCUGUGUUAUAGAAUAGCAGGAUAUUGAAACCUACAUUCUCUGGUUAGGAGAAUGCCUACAUGAUUUUUAAAUAAUUGGUCUAUGGGCUGCCCAUGGUGGCUCACAUCUGUAAUCCCAGCACUUUGGGAGGCCGAGGCAGGUAGAUCACUUGAGGCCAGGAGUUCGAGACCAGCCUGGGAAACAUGGUGAAAUGCCGUCUCUACUAAAAAUACACAAAUUAGCUGGGUGUGAGGGUGUGUCCCUGUAAUCCCAGCUACUUGGGAGGCUGAGGCACAAGAAUUGCUCAAACCUGGUAUGCGGAGGUUGCAGUGAGCCAAGAUUGCACCACUGCACUCCAGCCUGGCUGACAGAGUGAGACCCUGUCUCAAAAAAAAAAAAAAAAAAAAAAGAAUUGGUCUGUGAAUAGUGAUAGCAAACAUAGCAUAUUUUUCUUAUUCAAAGAAAUAAUUAUUGAGAUCCUAUUAUGUAUAUGUUUUGUAAACUGGUCCCCUAUGCAUGGUGGGGCCCCACUUAAGCUCAGGACUAGAUACUUACCAAAUCCUGGAGAAGGGCCUGCUUGCUUCUAAGUUUCCUUGCUUUGUGGAAUUUAAAGUGAUUGUCAUACCCAAGUAAGAGAUGCUUAGGGGGUGAGGAGAGGAUUAAUACAGAGGCUAAGUUCUUAUUCAAAUGCAGCUCAGUUUUAGAUCUCAUUUUAUGGCCAUCAUCCCAUACAGAUUUGCCAAGAAGCAUUCCAAAAUGAUUCUUGACAAUUAGCUAUCAAAUAGAAAAAGAAAUAAGAUACUUGGCCGGGCGCGGUGGCUCAUGCCUGUAAUCCCAACACUUUGGGAGGCUGAGGUGGGAGGAUCAUGAGGUCAGGAGGUCGAGACUGGCACCACAGAAGUCAUUUCUCUAGUUUAUCCCUUCAGAAGUGGCUUACAUGGUAUAAGGCACUGCAAAAAUAAAUAAAUAUUUGUGGCUAGUACCAUAAUAGCAUAUCCCCUGUGAUGAGG